rnacentral:tRNA from 1 species
AAGGUUAUAGCUCAGUGGUAGAGUGUGUGUUUAGCAUGCAUAAGGUCCUAGGUUCAAUCCCCAGUACCUUCG